AAGGGAAAGCACCAAUGGCACAUGAAAAGGCUGAGGUAUGUGUGAUAAAUUGCAGAGUAUGUGUAAAUUCAAUAUAAGUAGAACAUAAUGUAUGUGGUUUCUGUUUGGUAUCAAUUACACUGUAUUUGUGAAUAUUUGUUGUUUGUGACCCCAUCUAUUUUGAAAUAUAUUGAAUCUGUUUGUAGUGAAUUACAUUGUAUUUGUGUAUACUGGUUGCAACGUUAUAAGUUAUGGAGUGGGAUACUUUGAACUGUAGUUAACUUAUAAUUUUUGUUGCAUUGUUUUGUUUCACUGACUGAUAGUUUUGCAUUGCAUUGUUAUGUUUAAGUCUAACUUUUCUGGCUGGCUAGGUUAUUACGAUCUAAUUUUGUUGCAUCAUUCUUUCACCGGCUAACCAACAACAUGCAAAUUUUGUUGCAUUGCAUUGUUCCUUUUAAGUCUAACUUUUCUGGCUGACUAGGUUGCAUUGUUUUGAACUGAUUUGGCAUUGUUCUGUUUAAGUCUAACUAACAGCAUGUAAAUUUUGUUACUUUGCAUUUUUCUGUUUAAGUCUAACUUUUAUGGGUCAUUGGUUGACUGAGUUGUAAUGAACUAUACUUGGUUAUGUAUAUUAAGAUUUUUUUUUCUUUUUUAAUAUGAUUGGCCUUUUACAUAUAUAACUUAUUACAUAUUAAUAUUAGGACUCUGUAUACCUAAUGUGUUCUGAAAGGAGAAAUGAACCUCUAAAGAUUAAUCUCCAAACUAAGAGCACAAUAAUUGAUAAGAUAAAGGAGAACAUUGAAGGUACACUAGCUAAAAGAUUUAGGCAAGGAAUUUUUGGACAUUUCCUUGACUUCUCAAUCACAAUCUAAUCCAAUCAACUUCUGCUGCACCAUAUUCAAAGGAUAUGCAAACUAAAAUCAACAAGCCAACUUAAUUUUUUAAUAGGAGGGGGAGGGUGCUGAAAUUUGGGUUGAAAGAGUUUUCCCUAGUAACUAAACUAAACUGCCAUGGAGUACCAGAUAUUAAAGAGGAAGAUAUUAAGGAGCAUGGCCAUUUGAAGAGAGUGUACUUCGAGAGCCUGAAAACUGUUACCAAAUAGUACUUAAGUGUUAUGUUAAUGUAAGAACUACUAAAACCGAUAUGAUGAUUGCCUAAAGAUGGAAAAGUUGUAUUUUCUUGAGAGCUUUCUAAUCCCAAAAGAAGAGAGCCUAAAUAUAUAAUGGGAUCACACUCUAAUGGUUGAUGAUGAUGAGUUGUUUGACGGGUAUCCGUGGGAAAGGGUGGCAUUUGACCUUCUGGUGGAAUUUAUGAAUAGAGGUGUGUCUAGCAAGGGGCAGACUGGGAAUUCAAUGGGAGGGUUUAUUUUCUCAAUCCUGGCUUGCGAGUACGAGGUAAUCCCAAAGUUGAGUACCCCACCCAACUUCUUUGCAAGAAAGAUUUUGAAUCAAGUUUCUAGAAUCAUUACUUGAGCUGCAAAUACACAACCAAAGUGGAAGGACCUGAAGCAAAAGGUUUUUUAUUCACCCACGUGGGAAGGCCAUAUUUUGCACCCUUUCUUGAGGCUGAAAAAAGAAUACUACAAGAAGUCGAAGAUGAACUUAGAAAGAGCCAGCCAACUAACAGAGUUGCUCAAAUGUCAUUAAAUAGAGGCAUGCCCUCUAUAAGUCAGAUGGAUGGAUUGACCAAAAUUGUAGAAAAAUUUGAAAAAAGCCAAGAUAGAAUGGAAAAAAUAUGGGAGAGAUCUAUGAAUUUUUUAAGUAUGUAGAGAUGAAGAUGGAUAGAAAGGUUGAAGAGCUAGGAAACAAAUUGAACGACAUUAUUAAACAAAUGAAGAGUCAGGAAGUUAGUUCCUCUGUUGCACGAUAGACUAACGAGUAUAUGAGACUUUGAAGAGCACCUAGACAGAGUAGAGAAGAACAUAGAAGCAGAAGUAGAAAAA